GACGUGGUAGCGCAGUGUUUAAGGAGGCUUGACUUAGGAUCAAGAGGUCCUGAGUUCGAGUCCUUGCCAUGGCC